rnacentral:rRNA from 1 species
UACGUAGGGGGCAAGCGUUAUCCGGAUUUACUGGGUGUAAAGGGAGCGUAGACGGCGGCGCAAGUCUGAUGUGAAAGCCUGGGGCUCAACCCCGGAACUGCAUUGGAAACUGUGCUGCUGGAGUGCCGGAGAGGUAAGCGGAAUUCCUAGUGUAGCGGUGAAAUGCGUAGAUAUUAGGAGGAACACCAGUGGCGAAGGCGGCUUACUGGACAGUAACUGACGUUGAGGCUCGAAAGCGUGGGGAGCAAACAGG